rnacentral:rRNA from 1 species
UACGUAGGUGGCGAGCGUUAUCCGGAAUUAUUGGGCGUAAAGCGUGCGUAGGUGGUUUGUUAAGUCUGAUGUGAAAGCCCUGGGCUCAACCUGGGAAUGGCAUUGGAUACUGGCGAGCUAGAGUGCGGUAGAGGGUAGUGGAAUUCCCGGUGUAGCAGUGAAAUGCGUAGAGAUUGGGAGGAACAUCUGUGGCGAAGGCGACUACCUGGACCAGCACUGACACUGAGGCGCGAAAGCGUGGGGAGCAAACAGG